GUCAGUUAACAGUGCAGUCUGUUGAGGGCAUCCUGGGAUGGUGUGAACUGUCAGUUAACAGUGCAGUCUGUUGAGGGCAUCCUGGGAUGGUGUGAACUGUCAGUUAACAGUGCAGUCUGUUGAGGGCAUCCUGGGAUGGUGUGAACUGUCAGUUAACAGUGCAGUCUGUUGAGGGCAUCCUGGGAUGGUGUGAACCGUCAGUUAACAGUGCAGUCUGUGUUGAGGGCAGCCUGGGCAGUGUGUAUUGUUAGCUUCAGGCAGAUUUUACUGAGGCUUCAGCCACUGCUCUUGAGAAUUACAGAACAUUUAACUAAACUUCGGAUAAUGUAUCUUAGAAAAACAGAUGUUGCAAAAUAGUUCAUUUACUUUCCACCUGAUACAAUAUAGUUUAGCACAUCAGUAUUAAAAUGAGUAUUUGCUGUAAACUACUAGGAGUGUCUGUAUCAGACAGCGUAAGAAUGUCAGGUAUAAUGAGAAACAUUUGGGGAAUGAGGUGACCAUGCUUACAUUCUUCCUUCUGCCCAAAAUAGAUUUUUUAAGACUGGGGUGAGUGCAUGCUGCCCUUCCUAGGACCUGAGUUUUGUUCCCGGCAUCCAUAUUAGGUGGCUCACAGCUGCCUGUAGCUCCAGGGAUCCUGCACCUGCUUCUGACCUCUGUGGGCACUGCAUUCAAGUACACAAACCUGAAUACAGACACACAUUCACACAUAAUUAAAUCUGUAAAAAUCAGAUCUCGGGCUGGAGAGAUGGCUCAGUGGUUAAGAGCUCCUCCAGAGGUCCUGAGUUCAAUUCCCAGCAACCACAUGGUGGCUCACAACCAUCUGUAAUGGGAUCUGAUGCCCUCUUCUGGUAUGCAUGGAGACAGCCACAGUGCACUUAUACAUAAAUAAAUACAUAAAUAAAAAAAAUAGAUCUCUUAGAGGAAAAAUGUCAAUAAUGACUGGCAGGAAGCAGGUAUUGAGGUAUUGAGGUUUAUUCAUUCCCUAGCCCUCCUCUCCGAAAUGGGCUUUUAUCACCAUGGGGAAGAAGACUGUCUGGACUCUGGAUUACUUGACAGACAUGUCAUUGUACAAUUAGUUGAAGCUUUCCUUCAGAGUCAGAGGGAGGGAUGUUGGGAGACUGCAGAGUAGAAGAAAGCCAGCCACAUUUAAAGCUAGGCACAGUGGCAAAUUCUCUUGCAAUCCCAAAUUUAGGAGGUGGUAGAUCCAGGAGGGCCAGGCAUUCCAGGUUAUCCUUGUCUAUAUGGUGAACUUGAGGUCUGGACUACAUGAGACCCUAUGUCACAGAAGCAAAUAAAUAAAAGAUUUAAAAAGGGGAAAUAAAAUUCUAUCUAAGGUACCAAAGCAUAUUAUUUGGCCCAUCAUGGCCAGGCAAGACCAGUUGUUAUCAAAGCAGCUGUUAUGGCUGGAAUCUGGGAUAACUCAGGCUCAUGUUCUGGAGCGUGGGUCCUUUCCUUGCAGUGUUGUUUAGAUGACUGUGAAGCCAUUAGGGUGAAGCCGGGCUGGCAGAAGUAGGUGUCUAGGAGCAGGCAGGCCCUGAAGGCUAUACCCUUUCCCGGCUCCUGGUGGGCUGCUUUACCUCCUGUGAACAGGACACCCAUCUCUGCUACUAUGGACUGACACUGUGUGUGUGUGCGCGUGCGCACACGCGCGCGCGUGUGUACACAAGAGGACAAUUUCUGGAAGUCAAUUGUCUCCACCAUAUUGGCCCUAGGGAUUGACUCACUAGCUUGACUCAGUGUCUUUACCCACUGAGUUCCAGUAAGUCAGAAGUACUCUUUUAAGAAAUAGCAACUUAGGGCCUGGAGUGACGGCUCAGGGGUUAAGAGCACUGACUGCUCUUCCAGAGGUCCUGAGUUCAAUUCCCAGCAACCACAUGGUGGCUCACAACCAUCUGUAAUGGGAUCUGAU
ensembl:lncRNA